UGGGGGCUAUUGCACAAUGGAGGAAACUCUGAUGCAGCAACGCCGCGUGAGGGAAGAAGGUCUUCGGAUUGUAAACCUCAGUAGUCAGGGACGAAAGAAAUGACGGUACCUGAAGAGUAAGCUCCGGCUAACUACGUGCCAGCAGCCGCGGUAAUACGUAGGGAGCGAGCGUUGUCCGGAUUUACUGGGUGUAAAGGGUGCGUAGGCGGGAUAGCAAGUCAGACGUGAAAUACCGAGGCUUAACUUCGGGGCUGCGUUUGAAACUGUUAUUCUUGAGUGAAGUAGAGGCAGGCGGAAUUCCUAGUGUAGCGGUCAAAUGCGUAGAUAUUAGGAGGAACACCAGUGGCGAAGGCGGCCUGCUGGGCUUUAACUGACGCUGAGGCACGAAAGCAUGGGGAGCAAACA
rnacentral:rRNA from 1 species